UGUCACUCCAAUUCCCAUGAUGCCUUGCUGCUUAGCAUAACUCUACAGUGCGGCCCUGGGUCCACUGGUCCAUAUUCUGACAGAUAAUUAAGAAAGCAGCAGCUUUUUCUAGACGGCUCUUCCUCAUGAUUUGCAUUUUAGCCAGAGGCGACCAGUUAUAAAAAAAACAUGAUGGAAAGAUGGUAAGAAGCCAAUUAGAUGGAUGGAUGGCUGACUGACAGCUCUCUGGUAUUACGACUCCAGAUUUCAGACUACAUAGCCUGGCAGUUUUCUACAAGAACCAACUUUUUUGCAGAAGGUCAUACAUAUGCUAUUGGAGAGUUCACAGCUAGCCCCUCACUACUCAAAUUGUGGGUGUUAUUGCCAGACUGCGGAGAUGCACAAGAAUUGACUUGAGAAGCAAGGAGAUUAUUCAUGCUCCUGCACACUCUGUUAUCUCUGGGAGCUCUUAAUCAAUGCAGGCUCAAACCCUGGAGGGGUCAGAGGACUAA
rnacentral:lncRNA from 1 species